ACAACCUGUUCAUCUGAGGAAUGCUGAAGGAUCAAAUCUUAGUUAACUGACAGUCACUUCGGACACUGGACACCCGGUAUCGAGCAUUUAAUUCAACCGGUCUCCCGCAAGUUCUGUUGUUCCUUAGUAACAAUGAAAAGAAAAGAGAUAGAAUACUGUGGCGAGGAUGAAACCCGAUGACUCUAGACUGACACCUAAUACACUUGAAGUAAGGCACUCCAAGAGAGA